rnacentral:rRNA from 1 species
GCUGGCGGUAUGCUUAACACAUGCGAGUCGAACGGUAACAGGCCUUCGGGCGCUGACGAGUGGCGGACGGGUGAGUAACGCGUAGGAAUCUGCCUUAUAGUGGGGGACAACGUGGGGAAACCCACGCUAAUACCGCAUACGCCCUACGGGGGAAAGCGGGGGAUCGUAAGACCUCGCGCUAUGAGAUGAGCCUGCGUUAGAUUAGCUAGUUGGUAGGGUAAGGCCUACCAAGGCGACGAUCUAUAGCUGGUCUGAGAGGACGAUCAGCCACACUGGGACUGAGACACGGCCCAGACUCCUACGGGAGGCAGCAGUGGGAAUAUUGGACAAUGGGCGCAAGCCUGAUCCAGCAAUACCGCGUGUGUGAAGAAGGCCUUAGGGUUGUAAAGCACUUUCAAUGGGGAGGAAAACCUGCCGGUCAAUACCCGGUAGCUUGACAUUACCUAUAGAAGAAGCACCGGCUAACUCCGUGCCAGCAGCCGCGGUAAUACGGAGGGUGCGAGCGUUAAUCGGAAUUACUGGGCGUAAAGCGUGCGUAGGCGGCUCGUUAAGUCAGAUGUGAAAGCCCUGGGCUCAACCUGGGAACUGCAUUUGAAACUGGCGAGCUAGAGUUGAGUAGAGGGGAGUGGAAUUUCAGGUGUAGCGGUGAAAUGCGUAGAUAUCUGAAGGAACACCAGUGGCGAAGGCGACUCCCUGGACUCAAACUGACGCUGAGGUACGAAAGCGUGGGUAGCAAACAGGAUUAGAUACCCUGGUAGUCCACGCUGUAAACGAUGUCAACUAGCCGUUGGUCCUAUUUACAGGAUUAGUGGCGCAGCUAACGCAUUAAGUUGACCGCCUGGGGAGUACGGCCGCAAGGUUAAAACUCAAAUGAAUUGACGGGGGACCGCACAAGCGGUGGAGCAUGUGGUUUAAUUCGAUGCAACGCGAAGAACCUUACCAGGGUUUGACAUGCAUUGUGUCGGGGAUGAAAGUCCCCUAGCCGUAGCAAUUCGGCGCUUUGCACAGGUGCUGCAUGGCUGUCGUCAGCUCGUGUCGUGAGAUGUUGGGUUAAGUCCCGCAACGAGCGCAACCCCUGUGUCCUGUUGCCACCCCUUUAUUGGGAGCACUCUGGACAGACUGCCCUGUGAAACGGGGAGGAAGGUGGGGAUGACGUCAAGUCAGCAUGGCCCUUACACCCUGGGCUGCACACGUACUACAAUGCUCAGUACAGAACGAGCCGAAGCCGCGAGGCGGAGGAAAUCCCAAAAACUGAGCCCAAUUCGGAUUGCAGGCUGCAACUCGCCUGCAUGAAGCUGGAAUCGCUAGUAAUGCCGUAUCAGCUACGACGGCGUGAAUACGUUCCCGGGCCUUGUACACACCGCCCGUCACAUCAUGGAAGUCACUUGUUCCCGAAGUGCGUGCGCCAACCGCAAGGAGGCAGCGCCCUAAGGAAUGAGUGGUAAC